rnacentral:lncRNA from 1 species
GAUGUAGGAAAUGUAGCAUUUCGUCUUUGAAGGGCAAACCAUUCACUGUUUUUUGUUUGUUUGUUUUUUUGUAGUUCUCCCACUAAGCAGGAAAGGCAAGUAAAGGUAGAGAGAUAACAUAACACAUCUUGGAGGAAGGAGGACAAUACAAAGCAGUAGAUGGUGCCAUGGAGAGCAUGUGAGGCCUGAAAAUGAGAAGACCUGAGCACACCCUGUCUUGGACAUGAACAGAACUUGGCUUGAAAGGAGAGCUGGAAAGAGUCCAGAGACCAGGCUGUCCCUUCAGUAAUUUAUGUGGUGAUAAUUAAUAUUAAACAGCAGUCCUAC